rnacentral:rRNA from 1 species
GACGAACGCUGGCGGCGUGCCUAAUACAUGCAAGUAGAACGCACAGUUUAUACCGUAGCUUGCUACACCAUAAACUGUGAGUUGCGAACGGGUGAGUAACGCGUAGGUAACCUGCCUGGUAGCGGGGGAUAACUAUUGGAAACGAUAGCUAAUACCGCAUAAUAUUGAUUAUUGCAUGAUAAUUGAUUGAAAGAUGCUAUUGCAUCACUACCAGAUGGACCUGCGUUGUAUUAGCUAGUAGGUGACGUAACGGCUCACCUAGGCGACGAUACAUAGCCGACCUGAGAGGGUGAUCGGCCACACUGGGACUGAGACACGGCCCAGACUCCUACGGGAGGCAGCAGUAGGGAAUCUUCGGCAAUGGACGAAAGUCUGACCGAGCAACGCCGCGUGAGUGAAGAAGGUUUUCGGAUCGUAAAGCUCUGUUGUAAGAGAAGAACGGGUGUGAGAGUGGAAAGUUCACACUGUGACGGUAUCUUACCAGAAAGGGACGGCUAACUACGUG